AUUCUCUUUCCCUAAUUUGCAAAUCAUAGACCUCUCACACAAUGAAUUCCAUGGUCUUUUGCCAACAAAAUAUUUCAAUCAUUUCAAAGCCAUGAUGGGCAUGAAUGCAAAUAAUGGUAAAUUGAAAUAUAUGGGUGAAAGCUAUUAUCACGAUUCUGUGAUGGACACCAUGAAAGGAUUUUAUACUGAAAUGGUGAAAAUCCAAAAUCUCUUUACAACCAUUGAUUUCUCAAACAAUAUUAUCAAGGGGGAGAUUCCAAAGUCAAUUGGAAUGCUUAAGUCACUCAAGGGGCUUAACUUUUCACACAAUAACCCUAUAGGUCAUAUGCCUCCAACAUUGGGAAGUUUGAGCAAUCUUGAAUGGUUAGAUCUCUCCUCAAACAUGGUCAUAGGAGAAAUUCCAAGACAGUUAGUAGAUAUUACAUAUCUUGAAGUUUUAAAUCUAUCAUAAAAUCGUCUUGUGGGGCCAAUACCUGUUGGUAAUCAGUUCAAUACAUUUGCAAAUGUUUCUUACUUUGGAAACUUGGGGUUGGGGUUACGUGGAUUUCCAUUAACAAGACUUUGUGACAAUGUUGAGGGACAACAACCAUGCCAUCAUUAACCAUUCAAGAUGAUGAUUUCAAGUUUGGGAAUUGGUUUCAUUGGAAAGUUGUAUUGUUGGGGUACGGAUGAGGGUUCAUGUUCGGAUUGACUAUAGGUUACCUUCAAUUCUCAAGUAAACAUCCAAAAUGGCUAGUAAAUGUGGUUGGCAAAGAACAACACAAGGUACGAAGAUCCAAGAAGAAUGCUCACAAAGGAAUUAGUCCAAGAAGAGUUUGGUGGAAACAAAUAGUGAUUUAAGGUGGAUAAGCUUUUAUGCUAGCAAUAGCUACACAACAAAGUAAACUCGCUCACUAUUGCAGAACUGCACGUUUUGGUCUAGCCCUAGUUUAUGCUAUAGCGCUCGUGGCCCUUUCUAUCCAGUUUUAACAGGCCGAAGGGACAACAUUUAUUCAUACUUCAACAAAGCACUGGCCGAGAUUGCAUGACUGGAUGAUAAUAUUAUACAGACACUUCCCCCUUUUGGCCUUAAGAGGUUUUGAUGAAAGAGAAAUAGUCUAUCUUUUAGUGCAUUCAAAAUUGGGAAGAUUGGCUAUGAGUUCAUACAGAAACACCUCUAUGACUUCAAGGGGAUAGGACAGGUGACCCAACCAGAGCUUCUGAUUUCCUCACUGACAUGAGAAUGAGGUGCCAAGACAGUAAUAGGACCACCACUCAGCCUUCUUCUUAAACCAUGGAAUCAUUGGAAAUGAGUGAAUCUGCAUCACUUCACAGCCAAUCAUUAAAAAGGGGAGAGGACUCCUUUUUGCUGAUCGGUAGUAGCUAGCUAAUGAGAAGACCACAAGACUGGUAAGGGCUUAUGCAUCAGAUGACGGAUCAACCGCAAGACUGGACUUUGCUUGGGCAAUGAUGAAGAUGUCAGGGCUUAAUGUUUUGGCUGGAUCUCAAGGUCAGAUCCGACAGAACUGCUCCUUGCCUUUGGUCAGUUCCUAAGUGAUAGUCUUGACCGAAAUUGACUCUUGACAUCGUUAUUUUUUUUAUAUGAACUUCUCUUUAAGUUCAAUGUUUGAUUGUAGAUGCAGUGACUUCUAAACUUCUUGCCUGUGCUAAUUUGAGUGUAUAUAUAGAAGCAAUGGCAUAGAAUAGACAUUAGACACAAUGAUGAAAUAUGUUGUGGUUGUUGAGUUCUUUAGAAAUAUAGAAUUACAAUGUUUGGAAA